UACGUAGGGUGCGAGCGUUGUCCGGAUUUAUUGGGCGUAAAGAGCUCGUAGGCGGCUUGUUGCGUCGACCGUGAAAACCCGGGGCUCAACUUCGGGCUUGCGGUCGAUACGGGCGGGCUAGAGUUCGGUAGGGGAGACUGGAAUUCCUGGUGCAGCGGUGAAAUGCGCAGAUAUCAGGAGGAACACCGGUGGCGAAGGCGGGUCUCUGGGCCGAUACUGACGCUGAGGAGCGAAAGCGUGGGGAGCGAACAGG
rnacentral:rRNA from 1 species